ACUGACUAAAUCUUCUAAAUUAUUAGGUUCCUAAAAUGAGCUAAUUAUGGUGAUAACUAGAUCAUAGCCUCCAAUUAAGGUGAAUGAUAAUGGGUCCAUUAUUUAUGAUUGAUAUUGCAAGCACCAUCCGUCUGGUGUUCAUUCUGAAUGAUGGAAUUAUCAUUCAUCAUAUGAUGACUCUAUUAAACUAUCUGAUAAUGGUUGGAUUGAUCGAACCAUCCUCGGGCC
rnacentral:lncRNA from 1 species